GUCUACAUCAAAGCAUUUCAUGUGAUAUGUACUUGUAAAUGUGUGUAUGUGCAACUAGAUCAGUGAGUUGGACUAGGUAAGUAGAUGUCUCACAAUUUCAUAUAUGUCCCUGAAAGUUCAUGUGUUCAGGCUCAUUGCUCAUUACUCAAACUCCUUUUGAAGCUUCUUUUUGGGAAAAUAGGCACCCACCACCAUCUAUUCAGGAUCACCAGGUGUAUUCGGCAAGCCUGGGCAAUGGCUGUCUUGUAGAAUAGGUGUGUAUCCCCCUUGGAUGACUGCAAAGACUUGUUUUGUUAAAGAAUAUAUUUGUUUAAAAAAGGAAUCACAUUAUUUUAUCAUUAGUAGCAUUUGAUAAAUCCUAAUCAUGUGGAUAAUUCUAAUAAUAUAUUCUAAUCACAUGGAUUCUUAUGAUAGCCUAAUGAUAGUGAUGAUGACGUUCUAGUGAUGAACCUAACAAUCUAUUCUAAUUGUGCAGGUGUCCUGUUGUUAUGAGAUGCCCUGUGAAAGCAUCCUCGAUCACCCUUCUCACCUUGGGUUUUAACUUGACACCUGUCCCUAAUGGGUCAUUCAUGGGUCUUUUAUAAAAUGGCCACUGAUCACCUCCUGAAGUGGCUCUGACUAGGGUCAGAUAACUCAGGCCCAAUUUUCCCAGCAUCUCAAGCCACGUGCUUUCACAAGCACGGUUUUGAUAACAUGUGCUGUAGGCAUUGUCUGAACCCUGACAUGAUGGCCACACCAACUUCUGGACCUCUCGGGAGUGGGGUCCUUCAGCAAGAGUAGAUCUGGCCCCAGUCAGCCUCCCUGAGGUUCCUACCCCAUGACGUGAAGGACAUGGGACCCAUUUCUCCCUUAAAUUGCUCUCUGAAGCCAUGAGUGUUCCUCUUCACAGAGUCAUAAAAUCUCAGGCUACUGGAGAUCUUAUGAGACCAUUUCUUUCAUUGAAGGUCCUCCAAAAGAAUGCUGCAGCUUCAGACACAGCCUAUGCUCUGUCCAUGCAAUACAACCAAACUUACCAGGUGUGGAAAAAGUAAGCAAAUAAGUGAUCUGCUGCUUAGAUGGUGCUGCAGGUUGAACUGUGUCCCCCAAAAAGAUAUGUUGACGUUCUCAUCUCUGGUACCCGUGAAUAGGAACUUAUUUGGAAACAGGCCCUUUGCAUAUGUAAUUAGUUAAAUUAAGAUGAGGUCAUGCUGGAGUAAGGUGGGCCCUAAUCCAAUAACUGGUGUCCUUAUAAGAAGAUGAAACACAGACACAGAGGAGAAGCCCAUGUGAAGAAGAGGCAGAGACUGGAGCAAUGCGGCCACAGUCGAGGAAUGCCAGGAGCCCCCAGAAGUUGGAAGAGGCCCUCAAUGGAUUGGAUGGUGCCCACUCACACUGCGUGACGGUCAAUCUUCUUUACACAAUCCACUGAUUCCAACGCCAAUGUCUUCUGGAAACACCUUCACAGACACACCCAGGAAUAAUGCUUUACUACUGUCUGAGUAUCCCUUAACCUGGUCAAGUGGACGCUUAAAAGUACCCACUACAUUGUUUAAUUUAUUACUAGGGAUUUUAUAAUUUGGGUUGCUAUUGUGAAUGUCUUUAUUUUGUAUUAUAUUUCCUACGUGGCUCUGGUUGGUGUAUAAGGAAGUUAUUGAUUUUUGUAUAAUUACUUUCUAACCAGCCACCUUCUGAAUUAUCCUGCAAUACAGCCUAGUAAGUUUUCCGUGAGUGCUCUAGGAUUUAUACAUAGAUAAAAUAAUUAUAUUUUGUCUCCUCCUUACUAAAACUACAUCUCUGUAGGAACUUGUAGCAAUAACAGCGAGGCAUUCUGCCCUGUCUCUGACUCUAGUGGAAAUGUGUUUAGUGGUCGGUCACUGAGUACAAAGGUGGUUGCUAGUUUCAAAUGGAUAUUUUCAUCAUGGCAAGGAAGUAUCCUGCUGGUCUUCACUUACUAAGAAUUUCCUUUUCUUUUCAAAUCAGAAAUAAAUAUUGAAUUUUAUAAAAUGUCUCUUUGGAAAUUAUUCAAAUGAUAGCAGGGAUUUUUCCUCCUUUUGGCCCAUUAAUGAGAGGAAUUAUUAGUAGAUUGUCUAAUACUGAGCCCUGCUCCCUUUCUUUGAAUAAAACCUGACUGUUUAU
rnacentral:lncRNA from 1 species